rnacentral:rRNA from 1 species
CAAGACCUUGCGCUUUUAGAGCGGCCGAUGUCUGAUUAGCUAGUUGGUGAGGUAAAGGCUUACCAAGGCACCGAUCAGUAGCUGGUCUGAGAGGACGACGAGCCACACUGGGACUGAGACACGGCCCAGACUCCUACGGUAGGCAGCAGUGGGGAAUUUUGGACAAUGGGGGGAACCCUGAUCCAGCCAUGCCGCGGGAGUGAAGAAGGCCUUCGGGUUGUAAAGCUCUUUCAGCCGGAACGAAACGGUCACGGCUAAUACCUGUGACUCCUGACGGUACCGGAAGAAGAAGCACCGGCUAACUCCGUGCCAGCCGCCGCGGUAAUACGUAGGGUGCGAGUGUUAAUCGGAAUUUCUGGGCGUAAAGCGUGCGCAGGCGGUUUUGUAAGUCAGAUGUGAAAUCCCCGGGCUUAACCUGGGAACU